CCUACGGGAGGCUGCAGUGGGGAAUAUUGGGCAAUGGGCGAAAGCCUGACCCAGCAACGCCGCGUGAAGGAAGAAGGCUUUCGGGUUGUAAACUUCUUUUGACAGGGAAGAGCAGAAGACGGUACCUGUCGAAUAAGCCACGGCUAACUACGUGCCAGCAGCCGCGGUAAUACGUAGGUGGCAAGCGGUGUCCGGAUUUACUGGGUGUAAAGGGCGUGUAGCCGGGCUGACAAGUCAGAUGUGAAAUCCGGGGGCUCAACCCCCGAACUGCAUUUGAAACUGUUGGUCUUGAGUAUGGGAGGGGUAAGCGGAAUUCCUGGUGUAGCGGUGAAAUGCGUAGAUAUCAGGAGGAACACCGGUGGCGAAGGCGGCUUACUGGACCAUAACUGACGUUGAGGCUCGAAAGCGUGGGGAGCGAACAGGAUUAGAUACCCUUGUAGUC
rnacentral:rRNA from 1 species